UACGUAGGGAGCAAGCGUUGUCCGGAAUCAUUGGGCGUAAAGCGCGUGUAGGCGGUUACAUAAGUCUGUUGUGAAAGUCGGAGGCUCAACCUUCGAAAGCCGAUGGAUACUGUGUGACUUGAGUACGGAAGAGGAGAGUGGAAUUCCUGGUGUAGCGGUGAAAUGCGCAGAUAUCGGGAAGAACACCCGUGGCGAAGGCGGCUCUCUGGGACGGUACUGACGCUGAGACGCGAAAGCGUGGGGAGCGAACAGG
rnacentral:rRNA from 1 species